rnacentral:rRNA from 1 species
CUACGGGAGGCUGCAGUGGGGAAUAUUGGACAAUGGGGGAAACCCUGAUCCAGCAAUGCCGCGUGUGUGAAGAAGGCCUGCGGGUUGUAAAGCACUUUCGGUUGGGAGGACUGCUUCUAGCACUAAUAUUGUUGGAAGUUGACGUUACCUUCAGAAGAAGCACCGGCUAACUCCGUGCCAGCAGCCGCGGUAACACGGAGGGUGCAAGCGUUAAUCGGAAUUACUGGGCGUAAAGCGCGCGUAGGCGGCUAGAUCAGUCGGGUGUGAAAGCCCCGGGCUUAACCUGGGAACUGCAUCCGAUACUGUCUAGCUUGAGUACAGGAGAGGAGAGUGGAAUUCCACAUGUAGCGGUGAAAUGCGUAGAUAUGUGGAGGAACACCAAUGGCGAAGACAGCUCUCUGGCCUGAUACUGACGCUGAGGUGCGAAAGCGUGGGGAGCAAACAGGAUUAGAUACCCCCGUAGUC